AAACACACCAACACACAACAAAAGAAACAGAAAGGAAAAAAGGAAAAACACAACACACAUUCAUAUAAAAAAUUGUGAGGUUCUAGUCGAGGUUCUAUCCAGAUUUUGUGUUUUCAGGUUUCUUCAAGCGAAACAUGGAUUUAAAAUUCAAGAAUAAAGUUUCAACUCUUUUUCAGAAUGAUCAAUCCCACGAUUGUCAGAAUCUGUUUCUUCAAUGCAUGUAGCAGCCUGACUUCCUCACAUCGUUUACUAGUCAACUUCCUAUCAAGAAAAUAUGCAGUCAUUAAAUAGCAUUUUCAAAGUGUCAUUUUGAAAAAUAUCAAAAGUUCUGUCUAAGUGGCAAGUUCAGCCUCCAAUCCAAUUUAAGAUUAAGAUAUUCACCCAAAAAUCAAGGUGAUAUCUUAAAGUCAAGAUUCAAGUGAAGACUCAAGAAAAGUUGCAUAGAUAGGAGCUUGUACAUUUAUUUUUCUUUUAAGGCGGAAUGAUCUGGUGGACUCUUAUACUUAUAUCACUUUGUAUUGUGAACCCUUCUACUUGCUCUUUUGUCACAUGAACUCCUGAACUCAGUAAAACACAAUAUUUUAAACA